CUGCAAAGCCCGCGACUUGCCGGCGGCACUCAUGUCCUGGAGGGAAUUGGGGCUCGAUCUGGAGGCAUGGAAGAUCCUCGAGCUCCUCCUCCAGAGCCCGAACGGCUCCUGCAGAAGUCGACGGCAUGGGGAAGACGAAGACUUGCUCCAGCCACAUGCCACUGCCCUGUGCUCGUCUUGCCUCUGCCGUUCCCCUCCUCGAGCUGGCGGACUGAUGAUGGAGGACCCGCCCUCUUCGCUUCACCGGCGCCGCCGCUGCAGCUGAUGCUGCCCGCUGCCCACUCGCCGGCAGCCGAUUGAAGGAGGACUUGGUGAAGAGGAAUGGAGUACGAGUACGGAUGCUGCUUCCGUUGAUCCCAGGGACCGAUUUUCACUUGGACUGCAUCGGGUAAAAUUGAUUGAAGAAAGCAACUAAGACGUCAGAGAAUAUAUUGUUGUAUAUAUAAACUGAAUACUGGUGUACUGUCAAUAUUCAGUAGCAGAAAUUAAACUUCAGAGUAUAUUGUACUGUCAACAUUCAGAAUCAGAAAUUCAGUGUUGUACCGCUAAAACUAUACUGGUUCCUCUUUUCUGUGCAAUAAAACUGUACCAUUGUUUGAUGAAUCAUGGUUGAUUCAAUUUGCUCUACAUUUACUGAAAAUAAACUUGGCCAUUAUUUAUUGAAAAUAAAACCGGAUCAUUCACUUAAACUACUCAUGAAACAUUUUGCUCUACAUUUCAGUUUGAUGUACUGCAAUUUGAUCUACUGAAAUUCAGUUUGAUUAAGUUUGCUAUACUGUGCUCAGGUACUACCCUCUGUCCAACAUCAUGGAUAUACCAGUAUAUUGAUCUACUCCAGUAAUUUCCUCCAUUGCUUCUUGUCCAGUUUGAUUUGUUUGACAGUACUAAAGAUUGUUCCAUCAGAAAUCAACAUCAAUGUUGAGAAAUUGACAGUGCAGAAACAUAAAUUUCAAUCAUGGCAACCUAAAGAUUGUUUCAUCAUCAUUACAAAAAUUGACAAUAGUCCACUGUAAUGUUCUUAUUGGAAUUACAGAAACAAAAUUGACAGUACUCAACGCUCCAUGUCAUAGUGAACAUUACAGAAAUUGACAGAACACUUAUAACUGGUGAAAAUGCUACAGACCAUGAAUGAUUCCAGAGAUGUUUUCUUUCUCCCACAUUAGACCAUUAGACCAUAACAGUUAACUGAACUUUUUUUUUUUGUAACAUUUCUCGAGAGGACAUGAUCAAUUGUGUUUCAAAUUACAGAGCGAGAUCGUGGGAUUAGAUCUUUACUAGUAGUUUAACCUUCUCAUCACGCUCCUCUCCUCUCGCGACCGCGUCGCCCCCGCGGGCGA